AAACUUCAAAACCCCCCGUGGUUUCGUAGUUUCUCACAUUGCCCCCCUGUAGUUUAAAAUAUAUCAAUUUAUCCCACUGUGGUUUCGUUUUUAUUUUUUCGAUAGCAUUUUCGUUAAUAUUUCAUUAAAUUAUAUACAAAAAACUUCAGACACUCAUCUAGAUUUAUCAAAUAUUUACUUUAGUACUCUUUAAUUUUAACUUUAUUACUAAUUUUUUAAAAAAAAUAAUAAAAUUGAUAAGAAAAAGAGAAAAAAGAAACCACAGGGGAGCAAAUUGAUACAUUUUAAAUCACAGGGGGACAAAGUGAGAA
rnacentral:lncRNA from 1 species